AGAGAGGCCAUGCAGGCACCGGAGACUGCUAACUACCGCCCCCCCGGUUGGACCCCGGGGCUCACUC
rnacentral:tRNA from 1 species